UCGUAAAGACUAAGUUAUAUGCAACCGCUAUCGCUCAUUAGAACGGUCUCAAAUUGUAGUAAUCCUUUAUAUACACGAAUUUUACGCAAAUUCAGUUUGUUAUCAGAAUAAUAUCCGUUGGAGUUGGAGGUCUCCGAACGACUUCAAUAAUAUCCCUAUAUUUCUAACUAAAACAAUCGUAUAUAUUAAAACUUAUUUAAACCCAAACAGUUGGCUGGUUUUGGAAACGUGGCAUUUUUUGAAGAUGGCUGUAAACAAAUAGUCGGAUCGUAGAGAAUUAAAAUGUUGUUGAACCUAGUCGAUAUUUCCCUGGGAAAGUUCCGUCGGAGUUACAGUGCA